AUUGAACGCUGGCGGCAUGCCUUACACAUGCAAGUCGAACGGUAACAGGUCUUCGGAUGCUGACGAGUGGCGAACGGGUGAGUAAUACAUCGGAACGUGCCUAGUAGUGGGGGAUAACUACUCGAAAGAGUGGCUAAUACCGCAUGAGAUCUAAGGAUGAAAGCAGGGGAUCGCAAGACCUUGUGCUACUAGAGCGGCCGAUGGCAGAUUAGGUAGUUGGUGGAAUAAAAGCUUACCAAGCCGACGAUCUGUAGCUGGUCUGAGAGGACGAUCAGCCACACUGGGACUGAGACACGGCACAGACUCCUACGGGAGGCAGCAGUGGGGAAUUUUGGACAAUGGGCGCAAGCCUGAUCCAGCAAUGCCGCGUGCAGGAUGAAGGCCUUCGGGUUGUAAACUGCUUUUGUACGGAACGAAAAGCCCCGGGUUAAUACCCUGGGGUCAUGACGGUACCGUAAGAAUAAGCACCGGCUAACUACGUGCCAGCCGCCGCAGUAA
rnacentral:rRNA from 1 species